CUAGUGAACGGUACAACAUGGGGUACUGAAACACCCAUAUCACUAUUGAUAGGUACAGCAUGGGGUACUGAAAUCCCCAUAUCACUAGUGACAGGUACAGCAUGUGGUACUGAAACCCCCAUAUCACUAGUGACAGGUACAGCAUGUGGUACUGAAACCCCCAUAUCACUAGUGACAGGUACAGCAUGUGGUACUGAAACCCCCAUAUCACUAGUGACAGGUACAGCAUGGGGUACUGAAACCCCCAUAUCACUAGUGACAGGUACAGCGUGGGGUACUGAAACCCCCAUAUCACUAGUGACAGGUACAGCAUGGGGUACUGACACCCCCAUAUCACUAUUGACCGGUACAGAGUAGGGUACUGAAACCCCAUAUCACUAGUGACAGGUACAGCAUGUAGUACUGAAAUCCC
ensembl:lncRNA